GACGUGUGUUCUUCCUAACUGACUAUUAUUCGCAGUAACUCAUAGGGUUGUGUUAAAUGAGUUACUUGCACUAACGACUGAAGGAGAACAGAAUUCCUAGGGCAGGUCCUGGCGCACAGAGUGCACACAGUAAAUGCCACAUGGUGUUAUGAUGCUUGUGGAGUAGAGGAUGCAGUGGAGGAGCCUGGAGAGCAGGGUCGUCUGUGAUGAUGGUGCAGCAUCGAAUAAAGUCCACGCGUCCCUCCCCCCGAGGUCCCGAGCAAUGAACCCAAAUAGCCCUCAAAUGAACCCAAACUACUUUCUCUUUCUGAGGUCUGCUCACUUGGACUUGGUUUCUGAGUGCCUACUUCCUCACGGUACCUUUCCCUCCCCUCCUCCCCCGGGGUGGGUGAUCUCCGGUACUCCCGUGUCUUGCCAGUCAACGCAGUUAGAACACUGGGCCUUUCCUGAAUGUAUAGGACCUGUUAAAACCAUCAGGGCUGUUAACUUAGGUCUAAGUCCCACAAACGAAGACAGUCAUUCAGCAU